rnacentral:rRNA from 1 species
AAUCCAUAGGUUAAUGAGGCGAACCGGGGGAACUGAAACAUCUAAGUACCCCGAGGAAAAGAAAUCAACCGAGAUUCCCCCAGUAGCGGCGAGCGAACGGGGAGGAGCCCAGAGCCUGAAUCAGCAUGUGUGUUAGUGGAAGCGUCUGGAAAGGCGCGCGAUACAGGGUGACAGCCCCGUACACAAAAGCGCAUGUGCUGUGAGCUCGAUGAGUAGGGCGGGACACGUGGUAUCCUGUCUGAAUAUGGGGGGACCAUCCUCCAAGGCUAAAUACUCCUGACUGACCGAUAGUGAACCAGUACCGUGAGGGAAAGGCGAAAAGAACCCCGGCGAGGGGAGUGAAAAAGAACCUGAAACCGUGUACGUACAAGCAGUGGGAGCACCCUUUUGGGUGUGACUGCGUACCUUUUGUAUAAUGGGUCAGCGACUUAUAUUCUGUAGCAAGGUUAACCGAAUAGGGGAGCCGGAGGGAAACCGAGUCUUAAUUGGGCGUUAAGUUGCAGGGUAUAGACCCGAAACCCGGUGAUCUAGCCAUGGGCA